AGAGUUUGAUCAUGGCUCAGAACGAACGCUGGCGGCAUGCCUAACACAUGCAAGUCGAACGAGACCUUCGGGUCUAGUGGCGCACGGGUGCGUAACGCGUGGGGAUCUGCCCUUUGCUUCGGAAUAACAGUUAGAAAUGACUGCUAAUACCGGAUGAUGUCGUAAGACCAAAGAUUUAUCGGCAAAGGAUGAACCCGCGUAGGAUUAGCUAGUUGGUGGGGUAAAGGCCUACCAAGGCGACGAUCCUUAGCUGGUCUGAGAGGAUGAUCAGCCACACUGGGACUGAGACACGGCCCAGACUCCUACGGGAGGCAGCAGUGGGGAAUAUUGGACAAUGGGCGAAAGCCUGAUCCAGCAAUGCCGCGUGAGUGAUGAAGGCCUUCGGGUUGUAAAGCUCUUUUACCAGGGAUGAUAAUGACAGUACCUGGAGAAUAAGCUCCGGCUAACUCCGUG
rnacentral:rRNA from 1 species